GCCGACGUAGCUCAGCUGGCCAGAGCACCGCUCUCGUAAAGCGGGGGUCGGGGGUUCGAAUCCCCCCGUCGGCU
rnacentral:tRNA from 2 species